rnacentral:rRNA from 1 species
UCGCUAAAAGAUGAGCCUGUGGAGGAUUAGGUAGUUGGUGUUGGGUAAAGGCCUACCAAGCCUAUGACCCUUAGCUGUUCUGAGAGGUUGUACAGCCACACUGGGACUGAGACAAGGCCCAGGCUCCAUUCGGAGCCAGCAGUGAGGAAUUUUGGACAAUGAGCGAAAGCUUGAUCCAGCAAUACUACAUGAGUGAAGAAGGCUUUCAAGUUGUAAAACUCUUUGGUUGGGGAGGAUAAUGACAGUACUCAGCAAAAUAGCCCCGGCUAACUUCGUGCCAGCAGCCGCGGUAAGACGAAGGGGGCGAGCGUUAUCCGGAAUGACUGGGCGUAAAGGGUCCGUAGGCAGUAUUUUUUGUUAGAGGUAAAAGAAAAAAGCUCAACUUUUUUUGGCUUCUAAAACGUAAAUGCUUUGAGUUUGAAAGGGGAUAGCAGAAUUUCACAUGGAGGGGUGAUAUCCGUAGAUAUGUGAAGGAAUACCAGAGGCGAAGGCGGCUAUCUAGUUCAAUACUGACGUUGAGGGACGAAAGCAUGGGGAGCAAACAGGAUUAGAUACCCUGGUAGUCCAUGCCCUAAAAGAUGGGUGGUCGUGCUUAGAGAUUUUUAGGCACUUAGUUAACACGUUAAGCACUCCGCCUGGGGAGUACGACCGCAAGGUUGGAACUCAAAGGAAUUGACGGGGGCCUAUACAAGUGGUGGAGCAUGUGGUUUAAUGCGACAAUACGCGCGAAACCUUACCAGUUCUUGACAUAGAAAAGAAAAACUCCGAAAGGAGAAUUUUAAAGAUUUUUACAGGUGCUGCAUGGAUGUCGUCAGCUCGUGUCGUGAGAUGUUAGGUUAACUCUUUUUAACGGGCGAAACCCCUGUUUUUAGUUGCUAUUUAGUGAU